CCUACGGGUGGCUGCAGUGGGGAAUAUUGCACAAUGGGCGCAAGCCUGAUGCAGCCAUGCCGCGUGUGUGAAGAAGGCCUUCGGGUUGUAAAGCACUUUCAGCGGGGAGGAAGGCGGUGAGGUUAAUAACCUCAUCGAUUGACGUUACCCGCAGAAGAAGCACCGGCUAACUCCGUGCCAGCAGCCGCGGUAAUACGGAGGGUGCAAGCGUUAAUCGGAAUUACUGGGCGUAAAGCGCACGCAGGCGGUCUGUCAAGUUGGAUGUGAAAUCCCCGGGCUCAACCUGGGAACUGCAUUCGAAACUGGCAGGCUAGAGUCUUGUAGAGGGGGGUAGAAUUCCAGGUGUAGCGGUGAAAUGCGUAGAGAUCUGGAGGAAUACCGGUGGCGAAGGCGGCCCCCUGGACAAAGACUGACGCUCAGGUGCGAAAGCGUGGGGAGCAAACAGGAUUAGAUACCCUUGUAGUC
rnacentral:rRNA from 1 species